CUACCCUACCUAGACAAACUCCGAAUACUGCCGUACCUUAUCGUGGGAGUAAGACCGUGGGGGAUAAGCUUCAUGGUCAAGAGGGAAACAGCCCAGAUCGACGGCUAAGGCCCCUAAGUGUAUACUAAGUGCGUAAGGAAGUGGCGACGCAGAGACAGCCGGGAUGUUGGCUUAGAAGCAGCCAUCAUUUAAAGAAAGCGUAAUAGCUCACUGAUCGAGUC
rnacentral:rRNA from 14 species